CACAAACACAUUUUAGUUUUGAUUUCAGUAUCCUGAGUUGUUCUAUAAAACCCAAAUCUAGAAAGAAAUAAAGGAUCGUGAUGGAUAUCCAUCUGUGAGAGAGCAUGCUCUUAGGGAAGUAUAACUGUUGAGAGUGGCCUGCUUUUGUGAACAAGCCUCCCGUGUUUAUCAGGUACUUCUAAAAACAACAACAACAACAGCAACAACAAGAAGCCACCCUUUUCUCCAGGAUGAAAGCAGAAGCGUUUCAGUCUCAAUGUGAUCAAGCUUGUGGCUGCUUCCAUACUGUAAUGCCAUGGGCCUGAAGUCAGCAGAGGAAUUAUCCUUGAAGCGUCUUGGGGGAGUGCAGAUGGUGUGGCUGGGAUGGGCAGUUACUGGGGAGGCUGCACAGUGGCUCUGCACAGUGGCUCUGCGCGGUGGGUCUGCCUCAGGCUGCCCUUAGCACAUCAAGUUGGCCUUGCCUAGGUUUUAUCCUGGGUGACGUCUUUCUCUCUUCCACUAGUUUCACUAAAACCAUUCACUUCUGAAAUAAACCUUUAUUGGCUAAACGUUU
rnacentral:lncRNA from 1 species